GCCAGGGUGGUGUAGUGAUUAGCAUAUCUGCCGAGCGAGCAGGAGACCCAGGUUCGAGUCCUGGCCUUGGUA